CAAGUCGAGUGCGCAGUUUUCUGUAGCAAUACAGGGAAUGGGCGCACGGCGCACGGGUGCGUAACACGUGGGCAACCUGCCCUACAAUGGGGGAUAACCCGCCGAAAGGCGGGCUAAUACCGCAUGACAUCACGAUGGCUUCGGCCGUUGUGAUCAAAGGCCGAAAGGUCGUUGGAGGAGGGGCCCGCGCCCGAUUAGCUAGUUGGUGAGGUAACGGCUCACCAAGGCUUUGAUCGGUAGCCGGUCUGAGAGGAUGGCCGGCCACACUGGAACUGAGACACGGUCCAGACUCCUACGGGAGGCAGCAGUGGGGAAUCUUGCGCAAUGGGCGAAAGCCUGACGCAGCGACGCCGCGUGGGGGAUGAAGCUUUUCGGAGUGUAAACCCCUUUCGACCCGGAAGAAUGUCCCGCAAGGGAUUGACGGUACGGGUAUAAGAAGCCCCGGCUAACUACGUGCCAGCAGCCGCGGUAAGACGUAGGGGGCCAGCGUUGCUCGGAAUUACUGGGCGUAAAGGGUUCGUAGGCGGUGUGGCAAGUCGGAAGUGAAAUCUCCAGGCUCAACUUGGAGGCUGCUCCCGAAACUGCCGCGCUAGAGUGCGAGAGAGGCCAGUGGAAUUGCAGGUGUAGCGGUGAAAUGCGUAGAUAUCUGCAGGAACACCCGUGGCGAAGGCGGCUGGCUGGAUCGCAACUGACGCUGAGGAACGAAAGCUAGGGGAGCAAACAGGAUUAGAUACCCUGGUAGUCCUAGCCCUAAACGAUCAGGACUUGGGGUGCAUCCCGACGGGGUGCGUCCCGUAGCUAACGCGUUAAGUCCUGCGCCUGGGGAGUACGGUCGCAAGACUGAAACUCAAAGGAAUUGACGGGGGCCC
rnacentral:rRNA from 1 species